GCCCUCGUAGCUCAGGUGGCAGAGCACACCCUUGGUAAGGGNGAGGUCAUGGGUUCAAAUCCCAUCGAGGGCUCCA
rnacentral:tRNA from 1 species